rnacentral:sRNA from 1 species
UUUUAAUCAAACAUAACUAAAAAGUAAUUGGGAUUUUUUUGUUGUUAUUUAGUGAUAAGAAGAAUGUAUUAAAAUGUGUUUAACUUUUUUUUGCUUGUUAUUUAUUUAUUUUUGUUAAACGGUUUAGAUUGAAGGGAAUUAAUUUUAUUGAACGGUUUAGGUUUAAUCGGAUCAUAUAAAGUUUAGGAGAUUGUUAAGACCAAAUUACCCUUAAUGAUUUUGAAUAGCAAAGAACAAAAUCCAAAAUUGAAAUCAAAAUUGAGGCCAAAUUAGACAAAAUUUCAAUUUGUACUUUCCUUUUAAUAAUAAGAGGAUUGCUCGAGUCGUCUACUAUUUAGAAGAACAUACCCACUAUAUCUGAACCAAAAUC